rnacentral:rRNA from 2 species
UCAACAUGAGAGUUUGAUCCUGGCUCAGAACGAACGCUGGCGGCAGGCUUAACACAUGCAAGUCGAGCGCCCCGCAAGGGGAGCGGCAGACGGGUGAGUAACGCGUGGGAAUCUACCCUUGACUACGGAAUAACGCAGGGAAACUUGUGCUAAUACCGUAUGUGUCCUUCGGGAGAAAGAUUUAUCGGUCAAGGAUGAGCCCG